CGCGACGGUAGGCGGAGGUGGACACCGUCACCGUCGUCUCGGUGGGGCCGUAGAUGUUGCGGACCUGUGCGUGCUCGGACCACGUCGCGGCGA
rnacentral:tRNA from 2 species